AACGAACGCUGGCGGCAUGCCUAACACAUGCAAGUCGAACGAGACCUUCGGGUAUAGUGGCGCCCGGGUGCGUAACGCGUGGGAACCUGCCCUUAGGUUCGGAAUAACUCCCCGAAAGGGGUGCUAAUACAGGAUAAUGUCUUCGGACCAAAGAUUUAUCGCCUUUGGAUGGGCCCGCGUUGGAUUAGCUAGUUGGUAGGGUAAAAGCCUACCAAGGCGACGAUCCAUAGCUGGUCUGAGAGGAUGAUCAGCCACACUGGGACUGAGACACGGCCCAGACUCCUACGGGAGGCAGCAGUGGGGAAUAUUGGACAAUGGGCGAAAGCCUGAUCCAGCAAUGCCGCGUGAGUGAUGAAGGCCUUAGGGUUGUAAAGCUCUUUUACCCGGGAUGAUAAUGACAGUACCGGGAGAAUAAGCUCCGGCUAACUCCGUG
rnacentral:rRNA from 1 species